AGAAUAAAAUUCCAACCACAUGAAAGCAACAUCAGGCAUCCACCUUUAGAUAGAGGCAAACACACCAUGUCAUAUAUCACCUACUGAGAUUGCUAGGAUUUGAAGUUAUCCAUAAAAUAUGAUGAAACUAUCAACUAAUAGUAGUUCAUUUUUGAAAUAUGAAACUUACAUUAAUUUACUUUUAGUGGCUUAUAGAUUACCAGUAUAACUGAAUCAAAGUGUUUGCUAAUCUCACUUUCAGUAAAUAAAAGGAACUUCAAUACAAGCUGGUUGUGUCUUAUAAUAUAUUUUUCAUUAGAACUUUUUAACACCUUUAUAUCUUCCACCACCUCACUAUUCUAAGUCUGAAAAGUACAAUUACAUAUGUAUUAUUAAUAGAAUAAAAAGGUAUACCUCAUAUUUGAUCAGAAAACUUGGGACUCUUUGAGGCUUGACUCAGAUGGGUGGAGAAGAAAUGAGAGUGGAGCUUUCAGAGAUUGGAAGAAAUAUGGGAACUAGUUUCAGGAGAAGCUCUUCAAGAAGUGAGCCUGAGGAUGAGGCAGAGUAUGCUCUCCAAUGGGCUGAGAUCCAGAGAUUGCCAACUUUUGAGCGGCUGAGAUCAUCUCUGGUCGAUGAAGAAGGUGAGUCUGAGGAGAAUGGGAAGAGGGUGGCUGAUGUCACCAAGCUAGGAGCCAUGGAACGUCAUCUGAUGAUUGAGAAGCUGAUCAAACACAUUGAGAAUGAUAAUCUCAAGCUGCUCAAGAAGAUCAGAAAAAGAAUAGACAGGGUUGGGGUGGAGUUUCCGAGCAUAGAAGUGAGGUAUGAGAAUUUAAGUGUUGAAGCUGAGUGCGAGGUCGUUGAAGGGAAGGCGCUUCCAACUUUAUGGAACUCCUUGAAGCACGUUUUCAUAGAACUGGUGAAGCUGAGUGGUGUAAGAACACAAGAAGCCAAGAUAAGCAUACUUAAUGAUGUUAGCGGCAUCAUUAACCCGGGGAGGCUAACACUGCUGCUAGGUCCUCCUGGAUGUGGGAAAACUACUUUGCUUAAGGCUUUGUCUGGAAACUUAGACAAAAAUCUUAAGGUUUCUGGUGAAAUAUCCUACAAUGGACAAGGGCUGAACAAGUUUGUUCCUCAGAAAACAUCAGCAUACAUAAGUCAAAACGAUCUGCACAUUGCAGAGAUGACAGUGAGGGAGACAAUUGACUUCUCAGCUCGUUGUCAAGGUGUUGCUAGCCGAACAGAUAUUAUGAUGGAGGUCAUUAAAAGAGAAAAGGAUGGUGGAAUCAUUCCUGACCCUGAAGUAGAUGCUUACAUGAAGGCAAUAUCGGUUGAAGGACUUAAAAGAAGUCUACAAACAGAUUACAUCUUGAAGAUCCUAGGGCUUGACAUUUGUGCAGAAACAUUGUUUGGUAAUGCAAUGAGAAGAGGCAUAUCCGGAGGGCAAAAGAAACGUCUUACAACAGCUGAGAUGAUCGUUGGUCCAACAAAAGCUCUCUUCAUGGAUGAAAUAACAAAUGGCUUAGACAGCUCCACCGCUCUUCAGAUUGUUAAGUCUCUUCAGCAGCUAGCUCACAUUACCAAUGCAACAGUGCUUGUUUCACUUCUUCAACCUGCUCCAGAAUCAUAUGACCUCUUUGAUGAUAUUGUGCUGAUGGAUCAAGGAAUAAUAGUGUACCACGGUCCAAGAGACCAGGUCUUAAGCUUUUUUGAGGAAUGUGGAUUUAGAUGCCCGGAAAGGAAAGGUGUUGCAGACUUUCUACAAGAGGUUAUAUCUAGAAAGGACCAAGGACAGUACUGGCUGCACCAGGCCUUGCCUUAUAGCUUUGUCUCUGUCGAAACGUUUUCAAAGAGAUUCAAGGACUUAGAGAUUGGGAGAAAGCUUGAGGAAGCUCUCUCUAAGCCAUAUGAUAGAUCAAAACACCAGAAUGAUUCUCUUUCUUUCAAUGCAUACUCUCUUCCAAACUGGGAGCUGUUCAGAGCAUGCCUCUCAAGAGAGUUUCUUCUCAUGAAGAGAAACUACUUUGUCUACCUCUUUGACACGUUUCUGCUUCUUCUGUCUGCAAUCCUCACUAUGACUGUGUUUAUUCGAACACGGAUGGGCGUAGACAUCGUUCAUGGAAACUCUUACAUGAGCUGCCUCUUUUUCGCAACCGUUGUGCUUCUGGUUAAUGGUGCUCCAGAGCUUAAUAUGACUGUUGAACGCCUUGCCGUGUUUUACAAGCAAAAGCAACUUUGUUUCUAUCCAGCUUGGGCUUAUGCAAUCCCAGCAACAGUGUUGAAGGUCCCCCUCUCUUUCUUUCAGUCUCUAGUUUGGACUUGUCUCACUUACUAUGUCAUCGGAUACACUCCUAAAGCCUCCAGGUUCUUAAGGCAGUUCAUUAUGCUAUUUGCUGUUCACUUCACAACGAUAUCUAUGUUCCGGUGUAUAGCUGGAAUCUUUCAGACAGGAGUUGCUUCAAUGGCAGCUGGUGGUUUUGCUGUGUUAAUCACCUUUGUAUUUGCCGGUUUCGCCAUCCCAUAUACUGAUAUGCCAGGGUGGUUGAAGUGGGGUUUCUGGGUGAAUCCUAUAAGUUAUGCUGAGAUUGGACUCUCUGUGAACGAGUUUCAUGCUCCAAGAUGGCAGCAAAUGCUACCUACAAAUGUUACACUGGGGAGAACCAUACUCGAAAGCCGAGGACUGAACUAUGAUGAUUACAUGUAUUGGGUCUGCUUAUCUGCAUUGUUUGGUCUAGCCCUUAUCUAUAACACCAUUUUCACUCUUGCUUUGAGUUUCUUGAAAUCUCCAACGUCAUCUCGUGCCAUGAUUUCCCAUGACAAGCUCUCUGAGCUGCAAGGAACAAAAGAUUCAUCAGACAAGAAGCAAAACAAGUCAACAGAGAGAAAAGAGGAUUCAGGGAAGAUGGUGUUACCUUUUAAGCCACUCACCAUAACAUUUCAAGACUUGAACUAUUACGUCGACGUUCCUAUGGAGAUGAGAGGUCAAGGGUACACUGAGAAGAAACUUCAGCUUCUCUCAAACAUCACCGGAGCUUUCAGGCCCGGCGUUCUAACGGCAUUGAUGGGAAUCAGUGGAGCCGGAAAAACAACUCUACUGGACGUUCUCGCCGGAAGAAAAACAAGCGGAUACAUCGAAGGAGACAUCAAGAUCAGUGGAUACCGUAAGGUCCAAGAAACGUUUGCAAGAGUUUCAGGCUACUGCGAGCAAACGGAUAUACACUCACCGAACAUCACAGUCGAAGAGUCUCUCAUUUACUCAGCUUGGCUCCGUCUAGUUCCAGAAAUAGAACCUGAAACCAAAAUAAGAUUCGUGAAGCAAGUUCUGGAGACGAUCGAGCUGGAGGAGAUCAAGGACGCGAUGGUGGGAGUCGCCGGCCAGAGCGGACUGUCGACGGAGCAGAGGAAGCGUUUGACGGUGGCGGUGGAGUUGGUGGCGAACCCCUCCAUCAUAUUCAUGGACGAACCAACGACGGGGCUAGACGCAAGAGCAGCCGCCAUAGUGAUGAGAGCUGUGAAGAACGUAGCUGACACUGGACGAACCAUCGUCUGCACUAUUCAUCAGCCCAGCAUUGACAUCUUCGAAGCUUUCGAUGAGUUGGUGCUUCUGAAGACAGGAGGUCGUAUGAUUUAUACUGGACCUCUUGGACAACAUUCUUCUCAUGUUAUUAAAUAUUUUGAGAGUAUCCAUGGAGUUGCUAAGAUUAAAGACAACUACAAUCCCGCAACAUGGAUGCUAGAAGUUACUUCACAGUCCAUAGAGACUGAACUCAACAUUGAUUUCGCUAAAAUCUACAACGACUCAGAUCUCUACACAACCAACUCCGAACUUGUUAAAGAGCUGAGCAAACCGGAUCCCGGGUCAACCGACUUGCAUUUCAACAGAACCUUUGCGCAGAGCUGGUGGGAACAGUUCAAAUCUUGUCUAUGGAAGAUGAGCUUGUCUUACUGGAGAAGCCCUUCUUACAACCUGAUGCGAAUCUUUCACACUUUAUUCUCCUCUUUGAUAUUUGGUCUACUCUUCUGGAAGCAAGGCCACAAGAUAGAUACUCAACAGAACUUGUUCACAGUCCUCGGAGCUAUCUACGGUCUUGUCCUCUUCUUGGGAGUAAACAACUGCGCCACAGCGUUACAGUAUUUUGAGACAGAACGUAAUGUUAUGUACCGCGAAAGAUUCGCGGGAAUGUACUCUGCCUUUGCCUACGCAUUGGCUCAGCUUGUGACCGAGGUUCCUUACAUAUUCAUCCAAAGCGCAGAGUUUGUGAUCAUAAUAUAUCCAAUGAUCGGUUUCUACGCUUCUUACUCUAAAGUCCUUUGGUGUCUCUACUCAAUGUUCUGCAACUUGCUAUGCUUCAACUACGUCGCCUUGUUCCUCAUCUCCGUGACUCCGAACUUCAUGGUCGCAGCUAUUCUCCAGUCUCUUUUCUUCGUUGCUUUCAACCUUUUUGCUGGUUUCUUGAUUCCAAAACCGCAAAUACCAAAGUGGUGGGUGUGGCUUUACUAUCUAACCCCAACCUCUUGGACUCUCAACGUGUUCUUCACGUCUCAGUACGGUGAUAUUCAUGAAGAGAUCAAUGCCUUUGGCGAAUCCACGACCGUUGCAAGGUUCUUAGAGGAGUAUUUUGGGUUUCAUCAUGACCGUUUGGUGAUUACAGCCAUUGUUCUUAUUGCGUUUCCAGUUGCAUUGGCUUCUAUGUUUGCCUUUUUUGUUGCCAAACUCAACUUUCAAAAACGUUGAUGGAUCACACACAAAAGACCACAAGGAUAUGUCAACAAUGAACUAUACUAUUAUGCCAACAAGAAGAUAUUUUAGCAGAGUGUUAAACUAUUCUAGUCAAAAUUAAUAAA